rnacentral:rRNA from 1 species
UACGUAGGGUGCAAGCGUUGUCCGGAAUUUAUUGGGCGUAAAGAGCGGUGUAGGCGGCCCGAUUAGUCCGCUGUGAAAGUCCAGGGCUCAAACCCUGGAAGUGCCCGGUGGAAUACUGUCGGGCUAGAGUCCGGGAAGGGGCGAGUGGAAUUCCGUGGUGUACGCGGUGAAAUGCGCAGAUAUCAGGAGGAACACCAAUGGCGAAGGCAGCUCGCUGGGACGUGACUGACGCUGAGACGCGAAAGCGUGGGGAGCAAACAGG